rnacentral:tRNA from 1 species
CUCUCCGUGGCCUAAUGGAUAAGGCGUCUGACUUCGGAUAAGAAGAUUGCGGCUUCCAGUCCCGUCGGGGUCA